AUCACAAAACAGCAUAAUCUCAAAUGACCUGUCCACCUGAAACGUUUAGCUUGAAGUAUGGCCACCUUUCUGUCUCGCUUGGUAUGGAGAUAUGGGUAAUUGGGUAGAGCCCUCUUAGUGUUACAGUUUUAAGCCUAUUAUGUCAAUUGAGGUAAAGCUUCCAGUUAAAUGAAUUACACCCCCACGGCAUUGUCGCACCUCUCUAGAUUAGUCACGGACCACGGUUAAUGUUUUCUUGGGCCUCCGUAACGAAACGCCACAGAUAUAAAUGCGCACCUGGUGACGUCUUGUUGCCAAAGGAGAACGGGCAAGGGGAACGAACGCCUUUACAGAGCAAAGGGGCGAAGACGAACUACACAUGAAAAUGAUUUCAAAUAUCACAUUUGGCUGUUUAUCCGCGCUUGUACUUCUGAAGUUGGUAGGAGCCAACCCCGUGUCCAACCUGCAGAGGGUGAUACGGCUUCUGGAGGAGGAAAGAAAUUUACCAUAUAACGUGUCGGAGGAAUGGGAUGUGGAUGGGAAAGAAUUGAAUACAGAGAAGGCAGCCUUCACCGCGGGAGUGGUGCGUCCUUGGGACUCCGAAGACGCAAGGAAUUCCGCGCUGGCGGGAAAGGAGAAUGCAAUUGCGCGUCUUCUCAAUUACAUUCUGAAGACCCCCAAGCACCCGUGGAGCCGGUUCAAGAAGGGUGGAAUGAGAAGCUGCUUCGGCGUCAGGCUAGAGAGAAUUGGGUCAUUCAGCGGGCUUGGAUGCUAAAGGACAGGUUUUACUGGCUGUUGAUCAGAGCCCAAGAAACUACCCUUACUUGAACUAUUCGACAAGGAUGAACCUCUUCAACUCAGAAAGUAUUGACAGAGUUUACAAUGGCGUUUGUGAUGAGAUUUAUUUAAAUAUGUGGUUUGCAUUUGGCAUAUUGAAUUGUUCUUAUUUUAAAACUGUACAGACGAAUUUUAAUUUUCAAAUGAACAUCAAACAUUUGGCUCUUGAUAUAUGUUAUUGUUGUAGGCUAUGUAUUUAUCUAGGUCUAUUUAUUUUCUUGAGAAAAAAAACAUGUAUACUAAGAGACAGUAGAUUGCACGGUGAAAUAAAUAUUUUGCAUAAUA